CGGAGCAGAAGAUCGUUCGGGAGCUGUGGCGUCUUGUCAAUUUCAAAUUAUUUUCACGCUAUCGAUACUACUAAUCAUCUCUAAUGAAUUAUUUUGCAUUAUUAUAUCUUCAUAGAUAAUGAGUGAUUGCAUACACAGAUUGUCCAGCAUUGGAAGUGUCCAGUACGAACGCAUAUAUCUAAUUUUAUAAUAUGUGAAAUGUUUUAUUUUAUUCGUAAGGCAUACACAAUGGCAAGAGAAAUGGCGGUAGAAAUGUAAGUGGCGAAGAAGAAGAAGAAGAAGAGGAAGAAAAAGCAAAGAAGGUUAUCAGAGAGGGUCGACCCGAUUUCUAACGGGCGACCAUUCUCGAGGCACCAUGAGUGAGAAAUAACGGGCUUCCCCAAAAUCACCUGGGCCCCGUUAUUAGCCGUUAGAAACGAAACCUGUUGUUGGAAACCAUAACGCGGAUCCUUACGCACGUUUUCGUAUAGAUAGAUCGAUAGACAAUCUUUCAAUCUUUCAAUCUUUUUAUUUUGUAUUUUUUGAG